CAGGAUUUCAAGUCUAGUGUUUGUGAGUUUAGGAAAUGUUUAUGGUCUGUAUCUGCAAGGUGGGAAAGCUCCCUCAUCAUCCUCCUAUGAGUGAAAUUUGGUUGCUGUGUAGUGAGAUUUAACCUCCCGUAGCUUUACAUCUUUACUGAAGUCUUUUGAUCAAAGUCAAAAUAAAACAAGAUAAAACCAGAGUUGGGUGGGGGAAGCUGCUUUAUUUUUAUUGUUUUAGGGGAAAAUAUACCCCAAAUACAUUAACUCCAUUCCAGUGCCAUAAUGUCCACCUUCCAGGAAGGAUAAGCAGAUUCCUGGAGUCUGACUAUUGUCUACAGGUGCUGAAGUCCAUUGCCACCAUGAUGAAUGCAUGAGUUGGGACAGAACAGAGCGCUUUAAAGAUCAAGAUGUAGCUCUCAGCUACUUCUCCAGAACAUUGCCUAUCUGUGCCAUGCUCUCUGCCAUGAUAAUGGACUGAGUCUCUGAAACUGUGUUUUGCCUGAAUGCAUGUCUGUGCACCACAUGUGUUCAGUGUCCAUGGAAACCAGAAGGGGAUAUCGACUCUCUUGAAACUGGAGUAAUAGACAGUUGUGAGCCACCAUGUGAGAACUGGAUUUAAACCAGAGUGGUCCUCUGAAAGAGCAGUCAGUUCUCUUCGUCUCUGAGCCAUCACUUGAUCCCUAAAUCUUUUCUUAAGGCAUUUCCACCUAAAUUUCGGUGACUCAGACUUCUUGAAAUGGAGGCAAGACACUUAAGUUUUGUUUGAUCCAGAGAAUUUAUUCUUCAGGAACACAAGCCCGACACCUUCUGGAAGGCAGAAGACUAUUACAUUCCCUCAAAGUCCCUUUGUUCAGUACUGAGGAAGCAAGAUGCCUGUUAGAAACAGUAUGGCAUGUUCUGGGAACCUCAUUCUAGAAGAUUCCUGGCCUGAGUGAUAUUCAUGAAUAAAUGAAAUAGUGUGGAAAAUUUUUUUAUAACUCUACUCCUAUAGGAUGUUAUAUCCAGUAUUUUAUUUUAUUAUAAAAAUAUAAUCAACUAGUCAUUGCAGAACUGGUGAUGUCAACAGUAAGAGUUAGGGAUAUUAAAUCAUAUUAUAGUUAUCAAA